UGCAAGUCGAGGGGCGAUCGGGAGGGAAGCUUCGCUUCCUUGCCGGCGACCGGCGCACGGGUGAGUAACACGUAUGCAACCCGCCCUCUUCAGGGGGACGAACCUUCCGAAAGGAGGCUAAUCCCGCGUAUAUCGGUUUCGGGCAUCCGAGAUCGAGGAAAGAUUCAUCGGAAGAGGAUGGGCAUGCGGCGCAUUAGCUUGACGCGGGGUAACGGCCCACCGUGGCGACGAUGCGUAGGGGUUCUGAGAGGAAGGUCCCCCACACUGGUACUGAGACACGGACCAGACUCCUACGGGAGGCAGCAGUGAGGAAUAUUGGUCAAUGGGGGAGAUCCUGAACCAGCCAAGCCGCGUGAGGGAAGACGGCCCUAUGGGUUGUAAACCUCUUUUGUCGGAGAACAAAACCCGGGACGUGUCCCGGACUGCGUGUAUCCGAAGAAAAAGCAUCGGCUAACUCCAUG
rnacentral:rRNA from 1 species